CCUACGGGAGGCAGCAGUGGGGAAUAUUGCACAAUGGGGGAAACCCUGAUGCAGCGACGCCGCGUGAGCGAUGAAGUAUUUCGGAAUGUAAAGCUCUAUCAGCAGGGAAGAAAAUGACGGUACCUGACUAAGAAGCCCCGGCUAACAACGUGCCAGCAGCCGCGGUAAGACGUAGGGGGCAAGCGUUAUCCGGAUUUACUGGGUGUAAAGGGAGCGUAGACGGCGGUGCAAGCCAGAGGUGAAAGCCCGGGGCUCAACCCCGGGACUGCAUUUGGAACUGUGCUGCUAGAGUGUCGGAGAGGCAGGUGGAAUUCCUGGUGUAGCGGUGAAAUGCGUAGAUAUUAGGAGGAACACCAGUGGCGAAGGCGGCCCGCUGGACGAUGACUGACGUUGAGGCUCGAAAGCGUGGGGAGCAAACAGGAUUAGAUACCCUAGUAGUC
rnacentral:rRNA from 1 species